AGGUCUGAUUGCCACUGCAGAAUGAACUGUAAAGACAAAUUUUCGAAUGACACUCGCGAAACGCUCCUUAGGAAUUUUUUUAAACUUAAAAAUUCUGUGCGAAACCAAUUCAUAUCAAGUCAUAUCGCAGUAAAACGGACUGCUCGCUCAAAGGUAAUAAAUUCACGCAGGCAGUAUUCACGAGUUUAUUCACUACCCGACAUAUGGGAGUCGAUAGUGUGCAUGCAGCUAUUGAACGAGCA